UUUUUAAAAUAUCAGAAGAAAAAAAAGGAAAAGAGCUAUGUUUUUUUUAUACAAGUGAUACGAAAAAGAAGAAUGAAAAAAAUAAUCGUGUUUUAAUUUGGUGGUUACGUUCUGAAUGAAGAAGAAGGAGUUAGCUAUUUGACUUGUUCUUCUUCUUGGACACGUGUCAUGAACCCAUUGGGAGGUAAAAAAUUUAAAAAA
rnacentral:lncRNA from 1 species